AUUUUUGUGUGAAGCUCUGUAUAGGUUUGAAGUCUUAUGUGAAUUUGAAGUGGUUAUCAGAUUUGCAGAACAAGAUCGAGAGCUUGAAACGGAUUGAGGGCCUCAAUAAACUAACUGAAAGUAGCACAAAUCACCACACAACCAUAUUUUACAAUUUUUUUUUCCUUGUUGAGUUUUUCAAAUUUGAAGCUUUCAAGAGCUUUGUUUAAUUGCUGAAAUUUGAAUUCUAUUCAGAGUAUAAAUAGGAUUAGGCUUUCAUCAGUUAUGAAGCUAUUGGUUGGAGGACUUGGAUUUCAGAGCCUUCCAGUCACUGUAAAUGCUAACAUUUCAUCAAAUACAAGUACGUGAAUUAGAUGACAAUAUUUAGAAUCUGAUGCUGCCUUUUAUCAUCACAUACAUGUAUUCAAUGCUAGAAAAAACAAGAUCAAGUCAAUGGACGAGGUAAAGUCUCUUACAAGUGUGUGGGCAUUCAAGGAUUAAUGUUUAUAAUCUUCCUUUUUCUUAACCUCUGGUAGACAAUGAUACCAGUUAAAUUUGCAAGCUUAAUCAGAUGAAAGAGUUGAAUACUGGUCAAUACUGCUGCUCAGUGACUUCACCAAAUUAUUCAACCUACCUCAGAGAGGCCAAUGGAAUCUGGGACGAACAACAAGUCUAUGAAAGUCCUUUGGACUACAGUAAUGGCACUUGCUAGCAGAUCAUUUGAUGGAUCUCUGGUGGAGUCCUGCCAUUGGGCAGAUGAUGAAGUUCGUGAGCUUAUGGAACUCGCUAAGCAAAACUUGGAAAAUCCUAGGACUGAACAACUGUUGCGCAAUCUUUGCUUUACAUGAGUCCCUUCAAUAUAACUAAAUGCAAUCUUGUGCCUAGAAUUAUCGAAAGGCCUUUUUU